rnacentral:rRNA from 1 species
AUUGAACGCUGGCGGCAGGCCUAACACAUGCAAGUCGAACGAGUGGCGUACGGGUGAGCAAUGUCUGGGAAACUGCCUGAUGGAGGGGGAUAAGUACCGGAAACGGUAGCUAAUACCGCCUACUAUUAGAUGUGCCCAGAUGGGAUUUGCUAGUUGUGGGGGUAACGGCUCACCAAGGGGACGAUCCCUACCUGGUCUGAGAGGAUGACCAGUCACACUGGAACUGAGACACGGUCCAGACUCCUACGGGAGGCAGCAGUGGGGAAUAUUGCACAAUGGGCGCAAGCCUGAUGCAGCCAUGCCGCGUGUAUGAAGAAGGCCUUCGGGUUGUAAAGUACUUUCAGCGGGGAGGCGUUACCCGCAGAAGAAGCACCGGCUAACUCCGUGCCAGCAGCCGCGGUAAUUC